rnacentral:rRNA from 1 species
ACGGAGGGGGCAAGCGUUGUUCGGAAUUACUGGGCGUAAAGCGCACGUAGGCGGACUGGUCAGUUGGGGGUGAAAUCCCGAGGCUUAACCUCGGAACUGCCUUCAAUACUGCCAGUCUUGAGAUCGGAAGAGGUGAGUGGAAUUCCUAGUGUAGAGGUGAAAUUCGUAGAUAUUAGGAAGAACACCAGUGGCGAAGGCGGCCCACUGGUCCGAGACUGACGCUCAGGUGCGAAAGCGUGGGGAGCGAACAG